UACGGAGGGUGCAAGCGUUGUUCGGAAUCACUGGGCGUAAAGGGCGUGUAGGCGGCCUGUUAAGUCUGAUGUGAAAUCCCCUCGCUCAACGAGGGAACUGCGUCGGAAACUGGCAGGCUCGAGUACCGGAGAGGAAGGUGGAAUUCCCGGUGUAGCGGUGAAAUGCGUAGAUAUCUGGAGGAACACCGGUGGCGAAGGCGGCAUCCUGGACCGACACUGACGCUGAGGAGCGAAAGCCAGGGGAGCAAACGGG
rnacentral:rRNA from 1 species